rnacentral:rRNA from 1 species
UACGUGAGGGGCGAACGUUGUUCGGUGUCACUGGGCUUAAAGGGCGCGUAGGUGGCUGUGCAAGUAAGGUGUGAAAGCCCUCGGCUUACCCGGGGAAUUGCGCCUUAAACUGCAUGGCUUGAGGGAUUCAGGGGAAUGGGGAACUCCAGGUGUAGCGGUGAAAUGCGCAGAUAUCUGGGGGAAGGCCGGCGGCGAAGGCGGGUCUCUGGGCCGAUACUGACGCUGAGGAGCGAAAGCGUGGGGAGCGAACAGG